rnacentral:rRNA from 1 species
UACACUCCUACGGGAGGCAGCAGUGGGGAAUUUUGGACAAUGGGCGAAAGCCUGAUCCAGCAAUGCCGCGUGUGUGAAGAAGGCCUUCGGGUUGUAAAGCACUUUUGUCCGGAAAGAAAUCCUUGGCUCUAAUACAGUCGGGGGAUGACGGUACCGGAAGAAUAAGCACCGGCUAACUACGUGCCAGCAGCCGCGGUAAUACGUAGGGUGCGAGCGUUAAUCGGAAUUACUGGGCGUAAAGCGUGCGCAGGCGGUUUGCUAAGACCGAUGUGAAAUCCCCGGGCUCAACCUGGGAACUGCAUUGGUGACUGGCAGGCUAGAGUAUGGCAGAGGGGGGUAGAAUUCCACGUGGAGCAGUGAAAUGCGUAGAGAUGUGGAGGAAUACCGAUGGCGAAGGCAGCCCCCUGGGCCAAUACUGACGCUCAUGCACGAAAGCGUGGGGAGCAAACAGGAUUAGAUACCCUAGUAGUCCC